rfam:Camelus ferus unplaced genomic scaffold scaffold1938, whole genome shotgun sequence.
GAGGGUGUAGCUCAAGUGGUAGAGCAGGUGCUUAGCAUACAAAAGGUCCAGGGUUCAAUCCCCAGCACCUCCU